rnacentral:piRNA from 1 species
UCCCAGGGUGUGGUUUGCAGUUGCUUCGA